GUUGAACGCUGGCGGCAGGCCUAACACAUGCAAGUCGAGCGAGCGGCGGACGGGUGGGGAAUGUAUGGGGACUGCCCGAUAGAGGGGGAUCACUACAGGAAACGGUGGCUAAUACCGCAUACUUUCGGCUAGCCCAUAUGGGAUUGGCUAGUAGGUAAGGUAAUGGCUUACCUAGGCGACGAUCCCUAGCUGGUCUGAGAGGAUGAUCAGCCACACUGGGACUGAGACACGGCCCAGACUCCGAGGGAGGCAGCAGGGGGGAAUAUUGCACAAUGGGCGCAAGCCUGAUGCAGCCAUGCCGCGUGUAUGAAGAAGGCCCUAGGGUUGUAAAGUACUUUCAGUCGGGAGGCGUUACCGACAGAAGAAGCACCGGCUAACUCCGUGCCAGCAGCCGCGGUAAUUC
rnacentral:rRNA from 1 species